rnacentral:rRNA from 2 species
CUAACACGGAGAGUUUGAUUCUGGCUCAGGAUGAACGCUGGCGGCAUGCCUAACACAUGCAAGUUGAACGAAGCUUUCAAAGCUUGCUUUGAAAAGACUGAGUAGCGGACGGGUGAGUAACGCGUAAGAAUCUGCCCCUAGGAAAAGGAUAACAGCUGGAAACGGCUACUAAUACUUUAUAAGCUGAGAAGUGAAAAGGAUUUAUUCGCCUAAGGAUGAGCUUGCGUCUGAUUAGUUUGUUGGUGAGGUAAUGGCUUACCAAGACUUCGAUCAGUAGUUGGUUUGAGAGGAUGACCAGCCACAUUGGGACUGAGACACGGCCCAGACUCCUACGGGAGGCAGCAGUGAGGAAUUUUCCGCAAUGGGCGAAAGCCUGACGGAGCAAUGCCGCGUGAAGGAUGAAGGCCUGCGGGUUGUAAACUUCUUUUCUUAGAAAAGAAAUUGACGGUAUCUAAGGAAUAAGCAUCGGCUAACCCUGUGCCAGCAGCCGCGGUAAUACAGGGGAUGCAAGCGUUAUCCGGAAUGAUUGGGCGUAAAGCGUUAUUAGGUGGUUUAAAAAGUCUUUUGUCAAAGACCAAGGCUUAACCUUGGAUGGGCACUGGAAACUUUUAAACUAGAGUGCGGUAUGGGUAGAUGGAAUUACCGGUGUAACGGUGAAAUGUGCAGAUAUCGGUAAGAACACCAAUGGCGAAAGCAAUCUACUGGGCCAACACUGACACUGAAAAACGAAAGCUAGGGGAGCGAAUAGGAUUAGAUACCCUAGUAGUCCUAGCUGUAAACGAUGGAAACUAAGUAUUGAUCGGAAACGCGCAGUACUGUAGCUAACGCGUUAAGUUUCCCGCCUGGGAAGUAUGCUCGCAAGAGUGAAACUCAAAGAAAUUGACGGGGGCCCGCACAAGCGGUGGAGCAUGUGGUUUAAUUCGAUGCAACGCGAAGAACCUUACCGGGAAUUGACAUUUAGCGCAUUUUUUGGAAACGAAAAAGUCAAAACGCUAAAACAGGUGGUGCAUGGCUGUCGUCAGCUCGUGUCGUGAGACGUAAGGUUAAGUCCUGUAACGAGCGCAACCCUUAUUGUUAGUUGCUUUUAUAAAACUAAUGAGACUGCCAGUGAUAAGCUGGAGGAAGGCGAGGAUGACGUCAAGUCAGCAUGCCCCUUAAAUCCCGGGCUACACACGUGCUACAAUGGUUGGGACAAAGAGAUGCUAACUUGUGAGAGCACGCUAACCUCAAAAACCCAAUCUCAGUUCGGAUUGGAGGCUGCAACUCGCCUCCAUGAAGCCGGAAUCGCUAGUAAUCGCAGGUCAGCCAUACUGCGGUGAAUACGUUCCCGGGCCUUGUACACACCGCCCGUCACACCACGGAAGCUGAUUGGGCCCGAAGUCGUUGUAAACGCCGAAGGCACGGUUAGUGACUGGGGUGAAGUCGUAACAAGGUAGGGCUACUGGAAGGUGGCCCUGGAUCACCUCCUUC